AGAGUUUGAUUAUGGCUCAGAACGAACGCUGGCGGCAGGCCUAACACAUGCAAGUCGAGCGCUACCUUCGGGUGGAGCGGCGGACGGGUUAGUAACGCGUGGGAAUAUACCCAGUUCUAAGGAAUAGCCACUGGAAACGGUGAGUAAUACCUUAUACGCCCUUCGGGGGAAAGAUUUAUCGGAAUUGGAUUAGCCCGCGUUAGAUUAGAUAGUUGGUGGGGUAAUGGCCUACCAAGUCUACGAUCUAUAGCUGGUUUGAGAGGAUGAUCAGCAACACUGGGACUGAGACACGGCCCAGACUCCUACGGGAGGCAGCAGUGGGGAAUCUUAGACAAUGGGCGAAAGCCUGAUCUAGCCAUGCCGCGUGAGUGAUGAAGGCCCUAGGGUCGUAAAGCUCUUUCAACUGUGAAGAUAAUGACGGUAGCAGUAGAAGAAACCCCGGCUAACUCCGUGCCAGCAGCCGCGGUAAUACGGAGGGGGUUAGCGUUGUUCGGAAUUACUGGGCGUAAAGCGUACGUAGGCGGAUUAAUAAGUUAGAGGUGAAAUCCCAGGGCUCAACCCUGGAACUGCCUUUAAAACUGUUAGUCUUGAGAUCGAGAGAGGUGAGUGGAAUUCCAAGUGUAGAGGUGAAAUUCGUAGAUAUUUGGAGGAACACCAGUGGCGAAGGCGGCUCACUGGCUCGAUACUGACGCUGAGGUACGAAAGUGUGGGGAGCAAACAGGAUUAGAUACCCUGGUAGUCCACACCGUAAACGAUGAAUGCCAGACGUCAGCAAGCAUGCUUGUUGGUGUCACACCUAACGGAUUAAGCAUUCCGCCUGGGGAGUACGGUCGCAAGAUUAAAACUCAAAGGAAUUGACGAGGGCCCGCACAAGCGGUGGAGCAUGUGGUUUAAUUCGACGCAACGCGCAGAACCUUACCAACCCUUGACAUACUUGUCGCGGAUUCCAGAGAUGGAUUCCUUCAGUUCGGCUGGACAAUGUACAGGUGCUGCAUGGCUGUCGUCAGCUCGUGUCGUGAGAUGUUCGGUUAAGUCCGGCAACGAGCGCAACCCACGUCCUUAGUUACCAGCAUUUAGUUGGGUACCCUAAGGAGACUGCCGGUGAUAAGCCGGAGGAAGGUGUGGACGACGUCAAGUCAUCAUGGCCCUUACGGGUUGGGCUACACACGUGCUACAAUGGCAUCUACAGUGAGUUAAUCUCCAAAAGAUGUCUCAGUUCGGAUUGGGGUCUGCAACUCGACCCCAUGAAGUUGGAAUCGCUAGUAAUCGCGGAACAGCAUGCCGCGGUGAAUACGUUCCCGGGCCUUGUACACACCGCCCGUCACACCAUGGGAAUUGGGUCUACCCGAAGGUGGUGCGCCAACUAUUUAUAGAGGCAGCCAACCACGGUAGGUUCAGUGACUGGGGUGAAGUCGUAACAAGGUA
rnacentral:rRNA from 1 species